ACGCCUACGGGACGCAGCAGUGGGGAAUAUUGGGCAAUGGGCGCAAGCCUGACCCAGCAACGCCGCGUGAAGGAAGAAGGCUUUCGGGUUGUAAACUUCUUUUACCAGGGACGAAGAAAGUGACGGUACCUGGAGAAUAAGCCACGGCUAAAUACGUGCCAGCAGCCGCGGUAAUACGUAUGGGGCAAGCGUUAUCCGGAUUUACUGGGUGUAAAGGGAGCGUAGGCGGCCUGGCAAGCCUGAUGUGAAAUACCGGGGCCCAACCCCGGGGCUGCAUUGGGAACUGCCAGGCUGGAGUGCCGGAG
rnacentral:rRNA from 1 species